rnacentral:lncRNA from 1 species
AGUUUCUAUUGCAGUUGCAAUUGUUAUUCCAUGGUGUGUGACACUGUAUUAUAUGUUGUCUGUAAUUUAAUGAUUUUCAUUUUUUUUUUUUUUUUUCAGCUAUAGCCUCAACAUUCAAAAAUGACAAAAAUGGUCCAUGAGAACUUUCUGAUUAACAUGCAAGAACAAUUGGCAAGCAUGUCAUCACCUGCCUUGAGUUGUGAGUCCUAAAAAUGCAGCUCUGUGUAAGAAUGUCUAUUUCAGUGGAGGAAGAGCCUUCUUGUGAGAUGAUUUUGCAGCUCCUCAAAAUCAAAUGGGUGACGAGCUUCUGACAAGGAUGCCAACAAAUGCAGAGAGCUGCCACUGCUACAAAGCAGUCAAGAGCCAGGCUUCUCUAACUAGCUUGUUCUCUUCUGCUUCAUCUCAUGACACUGCCAGUAAUUGGAAGAGUUAAAGACAACCCAGCUGCAAGCUGUCAUGCAUGCAGUGCAAAAUAUCAGAUGUGGGACCAAGGGCAGUAGUCAAAUUGAUGGUGUAUGCAUGGAUGUCACUUUGAGAAUUUGAAAAGUAAAUUAAUAAUUUGCAUCUUCUAGCAACAGCACUCAUAGUUGCAAUCUUGUGCCUUCUCACACUGCAUCCCAUAACAAUAAUACAGAUGAUUAUGAUAAUUACAAUAAAAAUUAAUAAUACUUGCCCUUUUUUUCA